rfam:Dictyostelium purpureum unplaced genomic scaffold DICPTscaffold_63, whole genome shotgun sequence.
UUAAAGGUAUUUUUAAAUACCAUCCAAAUUAAAAAAACAACAAUA